AUUUACGACUUCAUCUUCUCCAAUUUGUUUCUUCUUCUUCGGACAAAUUUCAUAAAGAAAAUUUCAGAACUUUCAAUCUACAAGUCGGUUUGACAAACAGUUUUUUGCUAUGGAAUCAGUGAAUCUAACCCAACUAGCGAAGGUCUGAAAUUGAGAAACAAAAAGAACAAAACCAGUGGUGGCCAUGAGUCCAUGAUUGUUCAAGAUUUUUUGCAGAUAAACUUCAGGAUCAGACUCACGUUUCUUGCUUGCAUCGACGAUGCCAACUUGCCCUUUGAAGUCAUUUAAUCUGAAUCUCCGGAAUCGAUGAUGACUCGCCCAGUGAAAUCCGAAUUCAAACAUGGGUUUUAGUUGGAAUACCUUCCUUCAUAACGCAAUCAAGCCCACACCGUCCUUUCUCCUCCUCCCGUCUUCUUCCGCAAACCGCAUCGCCCUCCGUCCUCAAAUUGUCCCUUGCUGCAAUUGCAGUUGCAACAUUGUAAUGGAAAACAUCCAUUAAUUUCCUAACACAUAAGAUAUACUACCUAAAUUUAAACCA